rnacentral:rRNA from 1 species
CACGUAGGGUGCGAGCGUUGUCCGGAAUUAUUGGGCGUAAAGAGCUCGUAGGCGGUGUGUCGCGUCGGCCGUGAAAACCUGCAGCUUAACUGUGGGCUUGCGGUCGAUACGGGCAUCACUGGAGUUCGGCAGGGGAGACUGGAAUUCCUGGUGUAGCGGUGAAAUGCGCAGAUAUCAGGAGGAACAGCCGGUGGCGAAGGCAGGUCUCUGGGCCACUACUGACGCUGAGAAGCGAAAGCAUGGGGAGCGAACAG